rnacentral:rRNA from 1 species
GGCUCAGAAUGAACGCUGGCGGCGUGCUUAACACAUGCAAGUCGAACGAGAAAUCUUUAGCUUGCUAGAGAAAGUAAAGUGGCGCACGGGUGAGUAACGCGUGGGUAAUCUGCCUCCGAAUCGGGGAUAACAUUGCGAAAGCGAUGCUAAUACCGGAUAAAAUCUGGUUGGCUUCGGUGAACCGGAUCAAAGGUGGUCUCUUUAUAAAAGCUACCGUUUGGAGAUGAGCUCGCGUACCAUUAGCUAGUUGGUGAGGUAAAGGCUCACCAAGGCGACGAUGGUUAGCUGGUCUGAGAGGAUGAUCAGCCACACCGGAACUGGAACACGGUCCGGACUCCUACGGGAGGCAGCAGUGAGGAAUUUUGCGCAAUGGGGGAAACCCUGACGCAGCAACGCCGCGUGAGUGAUGAAGGCUUUCGGGUCGUAAAGCUCUGUCAGGUGGGAAGAACCCACCAAGUGUUAAGACCACUUGGUGCUGACGGUACCACCGAAGGAAGCACCGGCUAACUCCGUGCCAGCAGCCGCGGUAAUACGGGGGGUGCGAGCGUUAUUCGGAAUCAUUGGGCGUAAAGGGCGCGCAGGCGGUUUUGUAAGUCAGAUGUGAAAUCCCGGGGCUUAACCCCGGAAGUGCAUAUGAAACUAUGAGACUUGAGUAUGGGAGAGGGAAGCGGAAUUCCUGGUGUAGCGGUGAAAUGCGUAGAUAUCAGGAGGAACACCGGUGGCGAAGGCGGCUUCCUGGACCAAUACUGACGCUGAGGCGCGAAGGCGUGGGGAGCGAACAGGAUUAGAUACCCUGGUAGUCCACGCAGUAAACGUUGAUCACUAGGUGUAGCGGGUAUUGACCCCUGCUGUGCCGGAGUUAACGCAUUAAGUGAUCCGCCUGGGGAGUACGAUCGCAAGAUUAAAACUCAAAGGAAUUGACGGUGGGCCCGCACAAGCGGUGGAGCAUGUGGCUUAAUUCGACGCAACGCGAAGAACCUUACCUGGACUUGACAU